rnacentral:rRNA from 1 species
UACGUAGGGUCCGAGCGUUGUCCGGAGUUACUGGGCGUAAAGCGCGCGCAGGCGGCGGUGUUGGCCCGGCGUGAAAGCCCCCGGCUCAACCGGGGAGGGUCGUCGGGGACCGCACCGCUUGAGGGCGGUAGGGGCUGGUGGAAUGCCUGGUGUAGUGGUGAAAUGCGUAGAGAUCAGGCGGAACACCUGUGGCGAAGGCGGCCAGCUGGGCCGUCCCUGACGCUGAGGCGCGAAAGCCAGGGGAGCAAACGGG